GGAGAUUGAAGAGGGAGGACUGGGUUCCUGGAAGACCAGCAGGACUGUGGCUUGCUCACUGCAGCCCGUGGGAAGGCUGCUGAGGAUAGGAUGCCUGUGCUAGGCUGGAAGAGCGGCAGGACUAUGGACAGGUACACCUGCUUCUAAUUAGCACCCCAGAAACUGCACACCUGCAAUGAUUGGCAAUCCCUGGAUUUGAGGAUGAUCUUUACCAUGGAUUUACAUAUGGGUCCUGGAACUGCAAAUCUGCCUGCAGUAGGUAGAGAUUUGAAUGUGUUGCUAGGAAGAAGCAAAACAUGAAAUACUUGGGUGUUCAGAGACUACAAGGAAGGGGAUCAUAUAUGAAACGAGGUAGAUGUGUUUCCAUCACAAUUUGCCGGACCUAAUUUCUGGACACCUGAAGUCCAUUUGGAAUAACAGCUCACUCUGGUAUUGAGAAUUCCAAUGACCAAAACCUUACCAGGUCAUUUAAAUGAAGGUGGUAGUUCCAUUUUGCCUUGAGAGGUACAGAGAUCAAUUUAGCAGAGAAGAAUUCUUAAACAACUCAAUUUCUUUCUUCAAGGAAGUUAAAAUGAAAGUGGAGUGAGGUAAGGAAUAGAUAUAAUUGGCUUGGACUUCAAGAAGCUUUUUAGUACAAAAUUGUGUAAAGUAAGCAAGAGACUAUUGGUGAGGAAAUACUGUUUGGAUAAACAGAUGGCUGAGUAACAGGCUGGCGUGCUAUCGCAGAAGACUGAUAUGUAUCACGUAGGCAUCAGAAGACAAAGAGCUCAGUGGGGACAGGUAUGGGCAAAGUGUUUGGUCUCUUCAUAUUAUACAUCAAGGUCAUAGGGCAAUUGUGAACUAUGCUUUCACAAAUGUGCUUGAAAAGAAAAUUGUGGGGAAAAAUACAGGCAAAUAACAAAACAAGUUAACUGGUUAUUUGGCAGUGACUGCCUUUUUAUACUGUGGCUAUGGUUUAGCACU